ACACGGGAUUACCAAGACCCUUGGAUUAAAUUAACUUAAAUACAUCCUACCAUUCAUAUUGCAUCAAUAGUCUAUCACCCUGAUCAACGUCUCAGAUUGGAUGUUCUGCCAAACAGACGCGGUAGUCUGCCAAUCCUCGUAGCCCUCAGCGUCGCCGAUCCCCGCAACCCCGCCGACAAUUCCUAAAUUUCCGGAUUGACUCCACCGGAAAUCAUGCCAGAAAAACGGAUCCGCAGCAACUUGCACGGCCCCACCUUCCUUCCUCUCCUCCCGUGUGCUUCCUUCCCCAUCGCCGCGAGUCGACCCGGCCUCUGGUCGUCUCCCGCGCUACUGCAAGCCGCCGCCCACCUCCUCUGCCGGACGCCAUGGCCAUCGAGCAAAGCUCCGUCGGACCUUCCCGACCAGAUCGACGAUGACGACAAGCGGAUCUGCCCCCCACGAAGAGGUAGAAAGCACGGGGGAGGCGGCGGCGGCCCCAGUGGGCGCCGACGAAGCCCGCCAGCGCCGCCAGGAGGAUGAGCCCGCCUAGGAUGGACACGGGCCAGCGCGAACUCCAACCCCCGCCCAUCCCCAUGCGUACGCGAUCAGACCCCCGAGGCGAUGACGGGGACGACGCAGAUGUCCGCGUCACGCCCACCGUGAUGUUGGGGAUCACCCCCAUGUCUGGAUGCUCAAGCUGUGCUACUGCUGCUGACCCAGACUGUAUACAUACUUGUGCUAUGAAGCCACAUGAAUUCUUCCAAGAUGGUUAGCGAGACCACUGCCCCUUUAUCCUCUUCCUCCACCCCCUAUUCCUCUUUUAUGUCAUACCCCAAAGGAGAUCGAGAUCGAGAUUUGGGGAAAACGAGGCUAGGGUUCGUCCAGGAACGAGAAUAUGGUAUCAAGGAGGAAUAUACUGUAUUAGCUGUAAAGUAUUUGGGGUUCUUGAUCAUAGCAAAUGGCAUACACUUACAACCGAGGGCGCUGGCUUAUAUAGCUCAGCUAGCAACAGAACAGUAAACAGUAAUGCUACAGAAAGGUAAGUAACGCUUCAGGGGAUGGCGAGCCUUGUGAGCCAUCCGAUCUUCUCGCCUUCUUCCAUCUGUGACGUCCGUUAACUGAAUGAAGCAAUACUUGUAACUGAAGAUAUGCAGUGAGCUAAUAUUUUAUUCCUCUGUUAAUCCCACAAGCAUAUUGUGUUCCUCCAGAUCUAACCAAGUGAAAUCGUUGAUUUGGUGAUUGACUUCUCGGCUUCAUGGUGUGGGCCCUGCCAACGCAUCAAACCGGCCUUGAGAUGGCCCCUGCUUCCUCGACGCCAUCACCACGUCAACAAGCUCAGGGUACCUGCCACCAUAUCUAUCCCUGCUUCAUGUUGUUCAGUCUAGAUCAACUAAUCAACGUGUGUAACCUGGUUUCAGUUUGUGCAAUUGGGAAGGGAAAAAGGCUCUGAUUCUGUUUGAUCUUGGACAUGUAUCUAGCUUAUGCAUUCCAUUUAGUGAAUUCCAUCCAUGUUUUGCCAUUUAAUAGGAUAUGUCGAUAGUGCUCAGUUCCAGUAGAUUUGGAUGCAUCCAUUUGUUAAGACAGAUCUCAGAUGAAUCAAGAUGGUAGCAAUGCUUCUGAUGUUGAACAUGUAGAGCAUUAAGUAAAAUAUUAUUCAUCACAAAUUAUCUACCAUGUGUUGUUGGCAUCCUUUAACUGAUCUAGCGUGUGGGUUCUAUAUUUUGCUCUAAACAAAUUUCUUCUCAUCAAGAGUAAAUUGAUUUCAAGUAAUUUUAGAUUUUAGACUCUGCCAAAUGUGUGGGGCGUGCCUAAUUUGAUUAGGUGGUUGCCUGGUUAAACAGGAGGGAAAGCUAACCUUAGUUGCCGCUUGCUGUCACUGUCAGCAGGUCUUUACUUUGCCAACAUGAGAGUGGGAUAGGUGGCAUAGGCAUAUGUUGGUGGGGUUACCUUUGUUUAGCAUGCUUUCAACAGAAUGCAUAUGUCAUUGUCACCUUCUGAGAAUUAUUAGCAUGCUUUCAUAUGGAGGUAUUGUUUGUUUGGAUUAUGUCGAUCCAUGGGAGAUGUUUCUGAUUGCAUUUGCCGCCCUACUGAAAAUGGGACAUGUACUGCACUCAAAGCUUCAAGUUUCAACUCUACUUCUGGUUUGCAAUAUGAUACGUAUUAAUUUAUGCCUUAUUUGAACUUUCCAUUUCCUAUAUCAAUUUAUAGCAUUUCAUGUCUCUUAAUUUAAGCCGGAGCAAUAAUGCUUGUGGCGUUUUUACUUGUAAUACAGAUUGGAAACAUUGACCCUGACUGUAGAUUGGCCUUCAACUCUAUGAUGGGUUGUUUUUUUAGAGGACUAUGAUGGAUUGUUUAAGGUGGGUCCAUUGUCUGCUACUUUAUUUUCAUGAAUUUUGGUCAUCCGUUCUUGCAGCCAAGUGACACUUUGACACCGCCAACAGUUGUAGUCGUGUUUGAUCUGCACAAGCAAUGAUCUAUAUUUCUCAUGCCUUGGCAUGCGCAGUGUGAGUCCGUGAUCUAUAUGCAUCAUAACAAAAACGGAAAACCAGAUCAUAUGAAAAGGAAGACAAAUAUAAAUUUAUUUAGCCUAAAAUUAAAACAGUGCAUAUGAAAACCAGAUCCUAAUUUUGGUGUUACAUUAUUUAGUCUCCAAAUAGUCUAUUUGAUACGUAUAGAAUCAUUCAAGUUUUUAAAUAUUCCUUCGAGAGUAGUGAUUCUUUCCAAAUUAAUGGCACAAAACACUAAUAGUGAUCUUAUAUUAUUUUGUCGGAAGUGGAAAGCCUAGAGCAUUUUUUCUUACUGCCCACUACUUUUCCAGGCACUACUAACCUCUUGUACAUGUGUGCAUAUUGGGACAAUGAUGAUUUUUCUUGGGGAUAAAUUAUUGCCGAGGAGGUUGAGCAGAGAUAGUUAGGUGGAACAUACGGAGACUAAUAUGUCCACCAAAAUGUUGAGUAACAUCUUGAGGGUGGGGUUGAGCGUCAUGACCGAGGACAGCAUGGGCAAUUGAUUAGCUGCUUGUAGCCGACUACUUGAUGAGGUUUAUGACAUCACCAAUCACAUAAGCACUUACCAUCAGGUGUGCAUUGACCCUUGAGAAGGCUUGAACAACAUCAUAUUGGCUUGUGAUUGUCUCUCCGCGGUUGAGCGCACCAAUUCCUCCACUAUCGACCAAUUGCUGGUUGGUGUCGGUAUGGAGGAUAUCAAAGCCAUGUCAUGCUCUUUGGCAUAAGUGACUUGUUCUCACAUUAGUAUCUUAGCUCAUCGAUUUGAACUUUUUGUAUGUUCUCGAGUGCACCAGUGUCAAUUUUUGUAGAUGGAGACGUGCGUUGCACGUGCACAUUUACUAGUAAUUAUAGAUAAGGACUUUUGGCUUAAGCCUCCUUUA